GUAAUCCGACAGGGGAGCGCACAAGCGCUGAGAGUGCGGGCGACCGCAGACCCUCGUACCUGAUCUGGGUAAUGCCAGCGCAGGAAGCUCGGUCAUCUCUUAUC
rnacentral:ncRNA from 2 species